AUCAUGAGUGUUGAAGGAGUUCAUUAGAACCAAGGGAACGUUGCACCUAUAUUUGGAAUUCAGAUUCUCAAUCUGGAUGACAAUAAGGUCAAGGAAUGUCAAUCCAUUACGAACUUCAAUGACAGACUUAGGUCCAGUGCAGCCCAUUGUUGUCCCCAAUCCUCCAUUAAGCUUUAAAACAACGAGUUUGUCCAAAAGCUUCUUUGUUUCAGCGGGAUCAUCAGGAAUAGGCGCCAAGCUGUCAUAAGGAACCACUACUUCAUCAGUAGGUGUUUGAAUCUUGCUCCAUUCCACUUGUUGCGCUUCCCCACUGAGAUAUCGAGAAACGAGGCUAAUAAAUCCAUUUUUCUCACUGUCACUGAUUUGAUUGAGUCCAGCAACAGCAGA
rnacentral:misc_RNA from 1 species